GACGUAGGGCGCGAGCGUUGUCCGGAUUUAUUGGGCGUAAAGGGCUCGUAGGCGGCGUGUCGCGUCGGGAGUGAAAGCCCGCUGCUUAACGGCGGGUUGGCUUCCGGUACGGGCAUCGCUGGAGUGCGGCAGGGGAGACUGGAAUUCCUGGUGUAGCGGUGGAAUGCGCAGAUAUCAGGAAGAACACCCGUGGCUAAGGCGGCUCUCUAGUACGGUACUGACGCUGAGACGCGAAAGCGUGGGGAGCGAACAGG
rnacentral:rRNA from 1 species